rnacentral:rRNA from 1 species
UACUCAAUUACUAGCUUAAACAACUAUUUUUAGAUCAUUACCAAAUAACUCUUACAAUACUAAUAAUUUUCAAUUAAAACAUUCUAAAUUCUUAGUCAUGGGCGACA